CCUACGGGAUGCAGCAGUAGGGAAUCUUCCACAAUGGGCGCAAGUCUGAUGAAGCAACGCCGCGUGAACGAAGAAUGGUUUCGUCUCGUAAAGCUCUGUUGGUAGGGAAGAAAGAUAGAGGUAGGAACUGGCCUUUAUUUGAAGUUAAUUACUUAGAAAGUCACGGGGAAAUACUGGGCAGCAGCCGCCGUAAUACGAAGGUGGGCAGCGGUGUCCCGAAUUAAUGGGCGUAAAGCGAGUGCCGGCGGUGUAUGAAGUCUGAGGGGAAAGCCUUCGUGUCAACCGGAGAAUUGAAUCAGAAACUGUUGACCUUGAGUGUAGUAGAGAAGAGGGGAACUCCAUGUGGAGCGGUAGAAUGCGUAGAUAUAUGGAAGAACACCAGUGGCGAAGGCGGCUACUUGGUCUGCAACUGACGCUGAGGCUCGAAAGCAUGGGUAGCGAACAGGAUUAGAUACCCUUGUAGUC
rnacentral:rRNA from 1 species